rnacentral:rRNA from 1 species
GAUGAACGCUGGCUACAGGCUUAACACAUGCAAGUCGAGGGGAAACGACGGGGAAGCUUGCUUCCCCGGGCGUCGACCGGCGCACGGGUGAGUAACGCGUAUCCAACCUGCCUCUGACUGAGGGAUAACCCGUCGAAAGUCGGCCUAAUACCUCAUGGCGUCGUCUGCGGGCAUCCAACGACGAUUAAAGAUUUCAUCGGUCAGAGAUGGGGAUGCGUCUGAUUAGCUUGUUGGCGGGGUAACGGCCCACCAAGGCGACGAUCAGUAGGGGUUCUGAGAGGAAGGUCCCCCACAUUGGAACUGAGACACGGUCCAAACUCCUACGGGAGGCAGCAGUGAGGAAUAUUGGUCAAUGGGCGAGAGCCCGAACCAGCCAAGUAGCGUGCAGGAUGACGGCCCUAUGGGUUGUAAACUGCUUUUAUGCGGGGAUAAAGUGAGGGACGUGUCCUUCAUUGCAGGUACCGCAGGAAUAAGGACCGGCUAAUUCCGU